rnacentral:rRNA from 1 species
AAAGAAAUCGUUAAGGGCGUAUGGCGGAUGCCUAGGCUUUCAGAGGCGAAGAAGGACGUGGUAAGCUGCGAAAAGCUGCGGGGAUUGGCACACACGAGUUGAUCCGCAGAUGUCCGAAUGGGGCAACCCAAUACAUUGAAGAUGUAUUAUCUUGUCAUUUAUGACGAGAAGCAAACCCGGAGAACUGAAACAUCUAAGUACCCGGAGGAAAAGAAAUCGAAGAGAUUCCGUAAGUAGUGGCGAGCGAACGCGGAUUAGCCCAAAAGCUUUUAUAUGUUUAAUAGAAUACACUGGAAAGUGUAGCCAUAGAGGGUGAUAGCCCCGUAUAUGAAAGGCAUAUUUAAGUGAUAAAUGAGUAGGGCGGGACACGUGAAAUCCUGUCUGAAUAUGGGGGGACCAUCCUCCAAGGCUAAAUACUCCUGAAAGACCGAUAGUGAACAAGUACUGUGAAGGAAAGGUGAAAAGCACUUCGAAUAGAAGGGUGAAAGAGAACCUGAAACCGUACGCCUACAAGCGGUCGGAGCUCCGAUUUAUCGGGGUGACGGCGUGCCUUUUGCAUAAUGAGCCUACGAGUUAAUUUUACUAGCGAGGUUAAGGACUUAAGGUCCGGAGCCGAAGCGAAAGCGAGUCUGAAUAGGGCGCAUAGUUAGUAGGAUUAGACGCGAAACCUUGUGAUCUACCCAUGGGCAGGUUGAAGCUUUGGUAACACAAAGUGGAGGACCGAACCGGUUGACGUUGAAAAGUCUUCGGAUGACCUGUGGGUAGGGGUGAAAGGCCAAUCAAACUGGGAGAUAGCUCGUACUCCCCGAAAUGCAUUUAGGUGCAGCGUUGCGUUAGUUUAUUAGAGGUAGAGCUACUGAUUGGAUGCGGGGGUUUCAUCGCCUACCAAUUCCUGACAAACUCCGAAUGCUAAUAAAUGUUGCGCAGCAGUGAGGGCAUGGGUGCUAAGGUCCAUGUCCGAGAGGGAAAGAACCCGGACCAACAGCUAAGGUCCCCAAAUAUAUGCUAAGUUGAAAUAACGCGGUUGGACUGCAUUGACAGCUAGGAUGUUGGCUUGGAAGCAGCCAUUCAUUUAAAGAGUGCGUAACAGCUCACUAGUCGAGCGGUCCGGCAUGGAUAAUAAUCGGGCAUAAGCAUAUUACCGAAGCUAUGGAUUUAUCUUGUUUUAAGACGAGAUAUCUGGUAGGGGAGCAUUCUAUUUGCGCCGAAGCAGUAUCGUGAGGUAUUGUGGAGCGGAUAGAAAAGAAAAUGUAGGCAUAAGUAACGAUAAAGGGGGCGAGAAACCCCCUCACCGAAAGACUAAGGUUUCCUCAGCCAUGCUAAUCAGCUGAGGGUUAGUCGGGGCCUAACGCGCACCCGAAAGGGGAAGUGGAUGGACAUAGGGUUAAUAUUCCCUAACUUGCUCACACUAAAAAGGGGACGGAUUUACGUACUUGCUGGAGACUGACGGAAUAGUCAAGGCCUAGCCUUCGGGCGAAGCUGCUGCAGGGAAAUAGAUUCCAAGAAAAGCCGAAGUGAAGCAACCCGUACCAAAACCGACACAGGUAGUCGAGGAGAGAAUCCUAAGGUGCUCGAGUGAGUCGUGGCUAAGGAACUAGGCAAAAUAGUCUCGUAACUUCGGAAGAAGGGACGCCCCCGUUAGCAAUAACGGGGGCCUCAGUAAAGAGGCCCAGGCGACUGUUUAUCAAAAACACAGGACUCUGCUAAAUCGAAAGAUGCUGUAUAGGGUCUGACACCUGCCCGGUGCUGGAAGGUUAAAGAAGGUUGUUAGCAGCAAUGCGAAGCAAUUGACUGAAGCCCCAGUAAACGGCGGCCGUAACUAUAACGGUCCUAAGGUAGCGAAAUUCCUUGUCGGGUAAGUUCCGACCUGCACGAAUGGUGUAACGAUCUGGGCACUGUCUCAGCCACGAGCUCGGUGAAAUUGUAGUAUCGGUGAAGAUGCCGAUUACCCGCAAUGGGACGAAAAGACCCUGUGAACCUUUACUAUAACUUCGUAUUGACUCUGAGUAAGCAAUGUGUAGGAUAGGUGGGAGACUUUGAAGCCGGUACGCCAGUAUCGGUGGAGUCAACGUUGAAAUACCACCCUUUCCUUACUUGGAGCCUAAUCUCGUCUCAGACGAGAGACAUUGCGUGGUGGGUAGUUUGACUGGGGUGGUCGCCUCCAAANAAAGAAAUCGAAGAGAUUCCGUAAGUAGUGGCGAGCGAACGCGGAUUAGCCCAAAAGCUUUUAUAUGUUUAAUAGAAUACACUGGAAAGUGUAGCCAUAGAGGGUGAUAGCCCCGUAUAUGAAAGGCAUAUUUAAGUGAUAAAUGAGUAGGGCGGGACACGUGAAAUCCUGUCUGAAUAUGGGGGGACCAUCCUCCAAGGCUAAAUACUCCUGAAAGACCGAUAGUGAACAAGUACUGUGAAGGAAAGGUGAAAAGCACUUCGAAUAGAAGGGUGAAAGAGAACCUGAAACCGUACGCCUACAAGCGGUCGGAGCUCCGAUUUAUCGGGGUGACGGCGUGCCUUUUGCAUAAUGAGCCUACGAGUUAAUUUUACUAGCGAGGUUAAGGACUUAAGGUCCGGAGCCGAAGCGAAAGCGAGUCUGAAUAGGGCGCAUAGUUAGUAGGAUUAGACGCGAAACCUUGUGAUCUACCCAUGGGCAGGUUGAAGCUUUGGUAACACAAAGUGGAGGACCGAACCGGUUGACGUUGAAAAGUCUUCGGAUGACCUGUGGGUAGGGGUGAAAGGCCAAUCAAACUGGGAGAUAGCUCGUACUCCCCGAAAUGCAUUUAGGUGCAGCGUUGCGUUAGUUUAUUAGAGGUAGAGCUACUGAUUGGAUGCGGGGGUUUCAUCGCCUACCAAUUCCUGACAAACUCCGAAUGCUAAUAAAUGUUGCGCAGCAGUGAGGGCAUGGGUGCUAAGGUCCAUGUCCGAGAGGGAAAGAACCCGGACCAACAGCUAAGGUCCCCAAAUAUAUGCUAAGUUGAAAUAACGCGGUUGGACUGCAUUGACAGCUAGGAUGUUGGCUUGGAAGCAGCCAUUCAUUUAAAGAGUGCGUAACAGCUCACUAGUCGAGCGGUCCGGCAUGGAUAAUAAUCGGGCAUAAGCAUAUUACCGAAGCUAUGGAUUUAUAAUUUAUUAUAUCUGGUAGGGGAGCAUUCUAUUUGCGCCGAAGCAGUAUCGUGAGGUAUUGUGGAGCGGAUAGAAAAGAAAAUGUAGGCAUAAGUAACGAUAAAGGGGGCGAGAAACCCCCUCACCGAAAGACUAAGGUUUCCUCAGCCAUGCUAAUCAGCUGAGGGUUAGUCGGGGCCUAACGCGCACCCGAAAGGGGAAGUGGAUGGACAUAGGGUUAAUAUUCCCUAACUUGCUCACACUAAAAAGGGGACGGAUUUACGUACUUGCUGGAGACUGACGGAAUAGUCAAGGCCUAGCCUUCGGGCGAAGCUGCUGCAGGGAAAUAGAUUCCAAGAAAAGCCGAAGUGAAGCAACCCGUACCAAAACCGACACAGGUAGUCGAGGAGAGAAUCCUAAGGUGCUCGAGUGAGUCGUGGCUAAGGAACUAGGCAAAAUAGUCUCGUAACUUCGGAAGAAGGGACGCCCCCGUUAGCAAUAACGGGGGCCUCAGUAAAGAGGCCCAGGCGACUGUUUAUCAAAAACACAGGACUCUGCUAAAUCGAAAGAUGCUGUAUAGGGUCUGACACCUGCCCGGUGCUGGAAGGUUAAAGAAGGUUGUUAGCAGCAAUGCGAAGCAAUUGACUGAAGCCCCAGUAAACGGCGGCCGUAACUAUAACGGUCCUAAGGUAGCGAAAUUCCUUGUCGGGUAAGUUCCGACCUGCACGAAUGGUGUAACGAUCUGGGCACUGUCUCAGCCACGAGCUCGGUGAAAUUGUAGUAUCGGUGAAGAUGCCGAUUACCCGCAAUGGGACGAAAAGACCCUGUGAACCUUUACUAUAACUUCGUAUUGACUCUGAGUAAGCAAUGUGUAGGAUAGGUGGGAGACUUUGAAGCCGGUACGCCAGUAUCGGUGGAGUCAACGUUGAAAUACCACCCUUUCCUUACUUGGAGCCUAAUCUCGUCUCAGACGAGAGACAUUGCGUGGUGGGUAGUUUGACUGGGGUGGUCGCCUCCAAAAGAGUAACGGAGGCUUUCAAAGGUACCCUCAGCACGCUUGGUAACCGUGCGUAGAGUGUAAUGGCAUAAGGGUGCUUGACUGUGAGACCUACAAGUCGAUCAGGUGCGAAAGCAGGACAUAGUGAUCCGGUGGUUCCGCAUGGAAGGGCCAUCGCUCAUAGGAUAAAAGGUACUCCGGGGAUAACAGGCUAGUCUCCCCCAAGAGCUCACAUCGACGGGGAGGUUCGGCACCUCGAUGUCGGCUCGUCACAUCCUGGGGCUGGAGAAGGUCCCAAGGGUUGGGCUGUUCGCCCAUUAAAGUGGCACGCGAGCUGGGUUCAGAACGUCGUGAGACAGUUCGGUCUCUAUCUAUUGCGGGCGUUAGAUGUUUGAGAGGGCUUGAAUUUAGUACGAGAGGACCGAUUUGAACAAACCUCUGGUGUAUCAGUUGUACCGCCAGGUGCACCGCUGAGUAGCUACGUUUGGUUAGGAUAAGCACUGAAAGCAUAUAAGUGCGAAACCAGCCUCAAGAUGAGACAUCUUUUAAGGGUCGUGGGAGAUGACCACGUUGAUAGGUUAUAGGUGUAAAGCUGGCAACAGCAUAGCCGAGUAAUACUAAUUACCCGUAGAUUUAUAGCCU